GAGACAAGAUGGGAAGGAAGAUGGAAGACGAAAGAUGGAAGAUACACCUAAACCAGCACAAACAGAGAAAAAUAACAAGGAUGUCCCUAAACGAGGAAGACGAGCGACGAGGAAGGCAAAUGACGACGAAGACGUCCGUGAAUGAGAAAGAUGGAGAUUGUUGAAUCUAAGAUGGGAAAGACAAUGAUGGCAGAGAAAUCUCAACUUCCAUCUCGUGGUACUUCACUUUGGCGUUUUCGAACAGCAAGUGUGUUUAGGGCUUUGGAAUUUUUUUGUGGUUUCGCGCCAAUUUCAUUUUCUCAAGCAAGGCUUGAUAUAAGGGAUCUGCAAUUGACUAUUAUAAAAAAAAAAAAAAAGAAAUUGUCUACGACUCAAUACUUCCCGCUAGUCCUAGCUUUCGGUGAUCUCAGCUCCAUCCCCACAACGAGUCAUUUCGAAGGGGAGAUGAUUCUAUAGCAAGCUAAGAUAAUGUCAAGCAUCUUGAAGACUGCUCCAUAUCCAAGUGCAUCAGGCACUUGGGUGUUCUUAGUAGCAGGAGCAUUGCUGGCAAUUUCGGUUGGGAAAAAGUGCAAGUCUCUGGCGCCGCUUGUAAUUUUUGGAACGAAAGGCACUAUGCUGGACAUCAUCAUUGGAAUUAGUCAAUGCAAAAGGGAACAUGCAGAGUGUCAAAUGAAGCUACUUUAAGCUCAAGCUGCUGCAAAUGACGCACCAACUGGAACUGAUUCAUAAUAUUCCUGUAUUCUUAGUAUUGUCAACUUAUAUUUGUAGACGGGUGUAACAAGCAAGCAUGCAUUUUUUGGUUGCUUGUUUGUCAUGCACAUAAGAAAGAAACGAUUUCUUUGUUAGUUGAUUGAUGUCCCCUUCCAUUUCUUAGAGGCUGGGUAUUUGAUCUUUUUAUGUCCUGCGGGUAAUGUCAUUUCAAUGGGAAGCAUUAAAGAGAGGCUGAUCUUGUGAAUUUUGAUAUUUAAUUUCACCCUUAUUUUCAUUCCCUCUA